UCAGAGAUAGCAUGUCUACAAGAUCGUUUGAUCACAGUCAGUAGAACGAAAGUUAUUAGAAUUGAAGCUAAUCAUC